rnacentral:rRNA from 1 species
UAUCCGCCCGGGAACUACGAGCGUCAGCUUGAAACCCAAAGGACUUGGCGGUGCUUUAGAUCCACCUAGAGGAGCCUGUUCUAGAACCGAUAAUCCCCGUUCAACCUCACCUUUUCUUGCUUAUUCCGCCUAUAUACCACCGUCGUCAGCUUACUCUUUGAGGAACUAGCCGUAAGCGCAACUGGUACAACCUAAAACGCCAGGUCGAGGUGUAGCGAAUGGAAAGGGAAGAAAUGGGCUACAUUCAGUAAUAAUAAUGCAUACGAACGAUGUUCUGAAAUAAACAUCUGAAGGAGGAUUUAGUAGUAAGUAGAGAGCAGAGUGCUCUACUGAAGCCGGCCCUGAAGCGCGUACACACCGCCCGUCACUCUCCCCGAGCUAACCAAACACAUUACUAAUAAACAAAACUUGCAAAGGGGAGGCAAGUCGUAACAUGGUAAGUGUACCGGAAGGUGCGCUUGGCAAAACCCAAGAGUGCAGCAAACACAAGAAUGAGCCCCUCACAAGCCUAUGGAAGUCCUGAGGAAACAUCCGUGCAAAUCGGAUUACUCUUAACCUAGCU